rnacentral:lncRNA from 1 species
UUCAGGAGAGUCUUUAUGAGAUGGGAUCAAAAAUGCAGUGAACGCUGCUGCCCGGCGCCAUCCAAUGGAAAAGCAGUCGUGUGAAAACGUGACGCUGUUCUCAUCCGCCUUAGUCACGAGCUCUGGCACCAGGUGACCUCUGGCUCUUCCCCAAAGUCACAAUGACCAUGAAAGGGGGAGGUUUUGACUGGAUUCAGGUCAUCGAGGCAGCCAGCACAGCACAACUACAGAUCCUCAGGAAAGAGGACUCCAGAGCUGCUGCAGAAAGUCCCGAGGACGUGGGAUGAGCGAGUUCAGACAAGAGGGAGGAUUUUGAGGGAACUCGUGGCAAUGAAUCUUCCAGUGUAAUACUUUUAAAGGCUGUUCCCUGUCCCCAGGUGCUGACUGCCCAGGCCCCAGUUCAAAAUCCACCUCUGCCUUAGCAGGAGGCCAAGGCUCCAAAGAUCGCGGGUUGUGAAAUCCAGGCCCCAGGAGAGGGCGCCGGCGGUUGGGCGCCCAGGGCAGCGGUGCUGCCGCCUCACUGGCUGCCGGGCCCGGGAGAAUCUCUUCUUAGUGGGAGCGGGGAGGUCACCUGUGGGGAUGCGAUCGCUGACUCUAGAAGGCGCUUCUCUUUGGGAAAACUCAGCACCCCAGCACCUGUCAGAUUUCAGGGUGUCUGGGUGUGGGGCAGGCUGCUGGGGCCCCCUGGUGUCCGAGAUGGAUGCGGAGGACUGGGCAGCAGGCCUGGCACGAGGCCGGCACGGACCCAGGGUCCUGGCUGUGGAGAGGCAGGUGGCAGGGGGGCCGCUUUGUCACCGCCUCGCUGUGCCCGGCCCCGUCAGAGAAGUCAGGAUGCAGGCUCUGCUAACUGCUUCCCGUUCUGACGACUGUUUUCUUUCAUGAAGGAGAGGAAAUAAGAAAACAUUGACUUAAAGCUUUCAGGAUCCUUUGCCAUAGGUGUCCAGCCCAGCUAAGUCUAAGUAAAAAUUGGAUACACCGUUAGGAGAGGAUGAGUCCGACUUUUAGAGAGAGCAUACAAUGGCUUUGAAACACAAGCAAAAUUAAACAAGCAAGCCAUCCAGGUGACACCCUUCUGCAGCCACACACUGAUUUAGUCCAGUGAUCAUGUGAUGGCAUUCCUGUUGUUUGGAAGUCUCUGAAAAAUACCUGUAGAAUUCUUAAUACCUUAUAAAAGUACCUUCUGUAUUAACAAAGCAUUGUGGUGUGAGAAUUAGGAAAGGAGAUUAUUGUCCAUCAUGGACUGAUAGCUCUGUGAGAGGCAUUUAUUGGUGCCAGGCUUGGCCAGGAGACCACUGCGGAAGGGGCAGUGGGGAUAAAGCAAGGUGCCUGCUCCCAGCCUUGCCGGCCUGAGAGGGAGCCCAGGUUUCUGUCCUCUGGAACAUCUCAGUUCUGCCCUGGGCAGAUUCUAUGCCAAAGCAGCAGCCUCUGACACUGCACGGAGCUGUCUCGGCCAGAUUCAGAGGCACCCGGCAUACACAUGGAUUGUGAGAAUUAACCAUGUUUUGUCAUCUGCCACUGUGGUGUGUGGGACUGUUUGUUACACAGCAGUAACUGGCAGUUACAUGAGUGAGUUUAUGGAAAAUAAAGUCUGUGUUUAGAUUGAGUUGUAUUAUUUUGAGUGAAAAGUGGUGACUAAAGUGGUAAUAUUGAAUUUCAUGUAUUUUCUUAGAUUUGGUUUCUUGGAAACUUCCAAAAUUUGAAAAAUGUUUAAGUGUAGGUGUGAGAAGAUGGAUUUAGAAAAUGGGUCUCUGAAAGGGACACUGUGUGUCUAGAGAUGUGCAAUCCAAAACAGACACAGUGUACAAACUCAUGCUUGCGUCUUAUCUUAAUGUUAUUCCCUGUUUCCAGAUCUCUUGAGUAUGAUUUCAUCCCUUUUGUUGGUUCCACGCUGAUUUUCAUUUUAAUAGCUUCUGUGUCUUUCUGAAUGGGCUUUCUUUCCCUUUCACAAUCCAAAUGUCAUCUGCACAUGUGAGCAUUCACUAUCUCCGAUUCUCUCUGAUGUCAGGGAUUUCUGCUAUUAUGUUUGAAGAAAAGGCCUCCGUACUCCAUUUGCGCUCACAGACAUCUUUUGAAGAUGAGCAGAGCAUGUAGCCAGCCAGUUUUAAAAGGUCAUGCAUGAGAGCAGGACGAGCAAGUAGUGUGCAGAUAGCUCUUAAUCCAUGGGACAAGGACGUUUUCAGAUUGGAGCAUGGGAGUGGGAGGAGGAUCGCAGGCUGGCCCCAGAUGCUGGAGACAGGGUAGUUGGGCUUUGUGAAAACCAGCAGCAAGGAGCACUGGACAGAAGGAGGGAGAGGAAAGGGAAGAGGGAGGAGAGAGAGAGGGAGAGGGAGAGACCCCAGAAGCAGACCGAGAGCAGAGUUGGGGAGCACGCAGUUUGCUUGGGAGGAAGCUGCAGGAGGAACAGUGGUGUCAUCUCUGUGGGGUGCUCAGACACCAGCGGCGUCACCUGGAAACAUGGCAGAAACUCAGAGCCCCAGGCCUCCUGGGUCGGUCUGAUGUUCCUGAGGUUCCCAGGGGAUCUGCAGGUACACUGAAGGUAGCAGGGAGUGGCUGCAGCUGUCCCUGCAGAGCGGGGAAGCCAGGGUUCCCCUCCAGCAUCUCCAUCUGAGGCCAGGAUGGGGACAGUCCUGCCCGCAGGACUUCUGCUGUGACAGCCCAGGCAUGCGGGACAGGCAGGGAGCUGCAGGGCCGCUCUUCUCUGGCUGGGAGUAGGGCAGUGUUGCCACCCGUGGCAAACCCACGCACGCUGACCUUUCUCCUGUUUGUGAUCACAGCCACUCACCCAACUUGUGUGUGAGGCAGAGCUUUAUUUUGUUUGAUGAAAAGCCAGGUGCUUGGAGCCCUGUGAUUCUGCGGCUCCAGAGCGGCACUGCCCACGUCUUCCUGCCUGUGACCCUGGCCUGGGCAGUCCCCUGACCGCCACUCCUGGCCGGCAUGGUGCUACACACAGAUUGCUCUGUGAUCCUCGACGCUGCUGGGUCACGUGUGGCCCUGACUUCUAUUUCCUAAUGGUUUAUGAAGGGUUCCAUGUCAACAUUUCGGAGAAACAGCGGCCUGCUUAUUUUAUUAGCCCAGGCUUACAGUACAUGAUUACUUCACCAUGGGGAGGCGGCACACACAUAAUACAUCCCAAUUCUUAUUUCUCGUCCUAAGAUCUUCUUUUCUUUUUUCUUUAUUUUAGCACUGUCUUGGGCUGGUUUUGGUAUCUGGUUCAUCAAGUGAAUCAAGAAGUGUUCCCCUCUAGUCUAGAAGAGAUUGUAGAUUUGGUGUUCUUUAACCAUUUAGCAGAUUUCUCCACGAAAGCCAUCAGAACCCUGGAGUUUUCUCCUUUGAAAUGUUUAAAUUAUGGAUGCAUUGUUUUCUCCCAGUGCUGAGGAUUGAACCUAGGGCCUUUGAACUGAUCUGUAUCCCCAGCCCUUUUGAGUUUUAUUUUGAGACAGGGUCUCACUAAGUCCCUGAGGAAAGUGUCUAGAUUGGGCUCAAACUUGAGACCCUCCUGCCUCCGCUUCCCAGACUCUGGGGAUGAGAUGGGUGUGUUGCCAUGCCUAGCUUCAUUUUAAAAAAUCGUAACCAGACUACUCACUAGAGUUAUCUAGUUCUGUGGGGUCCACUGCAGUUGCAUCUGGCUUUAGAGGACUGGUCCCUCUCAUCUUGAGAUGAUUUGCACCAGGAAGAGCUGGGCUCAGCCCUGACCUGGUCCCCUUCUGCCACCUGGCAGCAACCUCCCCUGGCCCCUUGGGCCUAGGGCUGUCCCUGUCUGUGCUUCAGGUUUCCAGGACUCUCCAGUCUCUGCCCGUGUUUUCUUGCUCCCUAAGCUGGCCCUCGAGGUUCUCUGGCCUGUCCCGGAGUCCCUGAGUCAGAAGCACUGGGGAGGGACCACAGGCUGGGCUCCACAAACUUCCUCCAGGCCCUCGCAAGCUACUUCUCAGGAAGACAUUUUUCAUCGACCGAAUAGUUUCCUUUCCCUCCUUCCCUGGAACUCCAGACUAACAGCAGCCUUUUGAGGUCAGUGGAAGAGUGUGAUGUGGAGAAAGUCCGCGUGUGCGUCUGGGAAGCUGCACUUGGGCCUGCGCUGGGCCGACCCCUUGCUCAUGUGGCGCCUGGAUGGAGCACUUGGUGGCCUGUGCCACAGUGGCCCUUUCUUCUUAUAAAACGGACGUUCCCUACUUCCACGACAGUGUUGUGAUGUCUUCAUCACUCUCCUCACUGCUGAGACACAACUGCCG